GGAAAGAUGGUCGAGUGGUUUAAGGCGCAGCAUUGGAAAUGCUGUUUAGUGUUUCACUAACGAGGGUUCGAAUCCCUCUCUUUCCU
rnacentral:tRNA from 1 species